rnacentral:rRNA from 1 species
AAAUUGAAGAGUUUGAUCAUGGCUCAGAUUGAACGCUGGCGGCAGGCCUAACACAUGCAAGUCGAGCGGAAACGAGUUAUCUGAACCUUCGGGGGACGAUAACGGCGUCGAGCGGCGGACGGGUGAGUAAUGCCUAGGAAAUUGCCCUGGUGUGGGGGAUAACCAUUGGAAACGAUGGCUAAUACCGCAUAAUACCUACGGGUCAAAGAGGGGGACCUUCGGGCCUCUCGCGUCAGGAUAUGCCUAGGUGGGAUUAGCUA